rnacentral:rRNA from 1 species
AUGGCGUUCGCAAUGGCGAGGCGUCUGGGAGUCGUGCUGGCUUUAGCGGCUGUCGUCCUUCUCGCCGCCGCGGGGGCCGCCACCGCGCAAUCCAAGCCACGGCCACCCAAUGCCAAUGGCCCGAAGCCGAAGCCGAAUCCGAUAAGCGUCAAGUGCAGUGAGAGUCCCAGGGUAAACCCCUACUGCUCCAACCAGAGGAUGGACUGCCCCGCCAACUGCCCCCAGUCCUGCUACGCCGACUGCAAAUCAUGCAAACCCGUCUGCGUGUGCAACACCCCGGGGGCGUGCGGCGACCCGCGGUUCAUAGGCGGUGACGGCAACGCCUUCUACUUCCACGGACGCAGGGACGCCGACUUCUGCGUCGUCUCCGACCGUGACCUUCACAUCAACGCACACUUCAUCGGCAAGAGCGGCCACAGCGGCAUGUCCCGGGACUUCACCUGGAUCCAGGCCAUCGCCGUGCUCUUCGACGGCCACCGCCUCUACCUCGGCGCCAGGAAGACCGGCACCUGGGACGACGCUGUCGAGCAUCUAGAGAUCAUCCUGGACGGCGAGCCCGUGUACCUCCCCGCCGACCUGGUCGAAGGCGCCAAGUGGACCUCCAGCCGCGUCCCCGAGCUGUCUGUGACCCGCACCAAGGGGGCCAAUGGCGUGCUCGUCGCCCUCCACGGAAAGUUCAGCGUCAGGGCCAACGCCGUGCCCAUCACCGAGGAGGAUUCGAGGGUGCACCGUUACGGCGUCACCGCCGACGACUGCCUCGCGCACCUCGAGCUGGCGUUCAAGUUCGACGCGCUCACCGACGACGUCCACGGUGUGGUCGGACAGACGUACCGCUCCGACUACGUCAACCAUUUCGACGUGAGGGCCUCCAUGCCCACCAUGGGAGGAGAUGCCACCUUCACCACCUCCAGCCUGUUCGCCGCCGACUGCAGCGUGGCGCGCUAUGGAGUCAGCCGUGGAAACGACGGAGCCGCGGUGCUAUCUGAGCUCUCUGCUGUCACCUGUGCCAGUGGCAUGGACGGCAAGGGUGUCGUGUGCAAGAAGUAA